CUGAGGCCCACCAAGUCAGCAGAAACUUGCCUGAGCAGGAGUGGACAAGCAAGCAGAGCUGUCAGAGAGCAAGGGAACAGUCCUCUCAGUACCUUCUUUGCAAGCAGCCCUGGGAAGCAAGAGAGAGAAGACAGUGACAGAACGCAGGGAGUUUCCAGCAGGAUGUCCCAGAUCACCAAAGACAUGGCAGUAAGGAUGCUGCACAUGACUCAGUUCCUGAGGAAGAAGGGCCCCAUCACGAGCAAGGAGCAGCUUGUUGCCUGUGCUAGGCAAAUAGCUUCUGAUGGGCAGGCAUUUGUUACAUUCGGCCACAUCAUUGCCAACAUCUGCCUGGACAAGAGAUGUUCUGCAGAGCUGCUGUGUGCUGCAGAGCAGACCCACACCAUCAGCAGCCAGCUCGCCAUCGUGGCCAGGGUAAAAGCAGUUACUGCUGAGAGCAAGUCCUCUUCCGAGCUGCUCGUGAGCAAUGCGCAGAACCUAAUUCAAGCAGUUCUACAUGUUCUGAA
rnacentral:lncRNA from 1 species